rnacentral:rRNA from 1 species
GACAGAGGUGCCAAGCGUUAGGCGGAAUCACUGGGCUUAAAGCGUGUGUAGGCGGAAUUGUAAGUACCUUGUGGAAAUCCCACAGCUCAACUGUGGAACUGCUCGGUAUACUGCUUUUCGUUGAGCCACUUAGGGGCUGUCGGAACAAACGGUGGAGCGGUGAAAUGCGUAGAUAUCGUUUGGAACGCCAAAGGUGAAAACAGACAGCUGGGAGUGUGCUGACGC